CCUACGGGUGGCAGCAGUGAGGAAUAUUGGUCAAUGGUCGAGAGACUGAACCAGCCAAGCCGCGUGAGGGAGGAAGGUACAGCGUAUUGUAAACCUCUUUUGUCAGGGCACAAAGACUGGGACGCGUCCCCGGAUGAGGGUACCUGAAGAAAAAGCAUCGGCUAACUCCGUGCCAGCAGCCGCGGUAAUACGGAGGAUGCGAGCGUUAUCCGGGUUUAUUGGGUUUAAGGGGUGCGCAGGCGGCCUGGUAAGGCAGCGGUCAAAGCGCGGGGCUCAACCCCGUCCCGCCGUUGAAACUGGCAGUCUUGAGUUGGAGAGAAGUAUGCGGAAUGCGUGGUGUAGCGGUGAAAUGCAUAGAUAUCACGCAGAACUCCGAUUGCGAAGGCAGCAUACCGGCGCACAACUGACGCUCAUGCACGAAAGCGUGGGUAUCGAACAGGAUUAGAUACCCCAGUAGUC
rnacentral:rRNA from 1 species